CCGGGCCAGGUCGGCAGUACGCCGGGCUCCCACCCCUGCGGGCGUGGGGGGGCAGGGCGCACCACUCACAGCGGGGAGCUGAGGCCAUGGGUGCUAGGAGCCAGGGUGGCCCCGGCUCAGCCGGCACCCCCGAGGGACAGGGAAGCAGGACGCCAGUUUUGUCCCGGUGUUUUACCUCUGUACAGCGGGGAGCUGGGGCUCCGUCUCUCAGGCAAUUGAUAUGAGGUCACUUUGCAGCCAAAUUUCUGUGGUUGAUGUACACUCAAAUGAAGCUGAUGGAAACAGUGUGAAAUGGCACAACAAACAGCACCAAAAUUUAUUUGGAACCAGUCACCAUCGUUCCUCUACCAGCCAAAUGGGAUGCUGUAGAGUGACACAGUGGGCUCCACCACCACUACUGGGAAGUAAAUAUGCUGCCUCUACGUCUUCAAAGCUGAAGAAUAUUCUCUUGUUAAGUAAGUCUUGCAGCCUGGUA